rnacentral:lncRNA from 1 species
CAAUCCAAACAAUUUAAAAAGUAAACAAUUUAUGGGCAAGGAAAAAAUGGAGGCCCAACUUAUGACUGGUUUUGACUAAUCGGGAGGGAAAAUAGCUGCAAUUUAGCUCGAGUAGAGCUAAAUCUAAAGUCAAGUAGCGCUAAGUCUACAAUACCCAAACACUAAACAGUUUAUAGGAAAAUGCUAGCUAAAAAACUUAGUAGUCUCCAGAUUUUGUAGACGUGCAAGUAGAGAGCAAAGAAAUAAAAAAAUCAUGCUGUCUAUAUUGUCAUCAUAUGUGUCCUUUAUUCAAUCUGCAACUGCUUUUCAAUAACCAUGAGGGCAAAAAGCUGCAAUUCAGGUCAAGUAGAGCUAAAUCUAAACCCAAGUAGAACUAAAUCUACAAUACCAAAAUGUCAAACAGCUAAAAAAAUAUGUUAGAUCCAAAUCUCCAAAGUCUACAGUUUUUUUAGAUCUGCU